GACGAACGCUGGCGGCGUGCUUAACACAUGCAAGUCGAGCGGAAAGGCCCUUCGGGGUACUCGAGCGGCGAACGGGUGAGUAACACGUGAGUAACCUGCCCCAGACUUUGGGAUAACCCUCGGAAACGGGGGCUAAUACCGGAUACGACACAGCUUCGCAUGGGGUCUGUGUGGAAAGUUUUUCGGUUUGGGAUGGGCUCGCGGCCUAUCAGCUUGUUGGUGGGGUGAUGGCCUACCAAGGUGACGACGGGUAGCCGGCCUGAGAGGGCGACCGGCCACACUGGGACUGAGACACGGCCCAGACUCCUACGGGAGGCAGCAGUGGGGAAUAUUGCACAAUGGGCGGAAGCCUGAUGCAGCGACGCCGCGUGAGGGAUGACGGCCUUCGGGUUGUAAACCUCUUUCAGCAGGGACGAAGCGUAAGUGACGGUACCUGCAGAAGAAGCGCCGGCCAACUACGUG
rnacentral:rRNA from 1 species